UACAGAGUGCCUGAUUAAAGGAUAAUUUUGAUAGAAUUAAUAAUGUGUUCCUACACCUCUGUAA
rnacentral:tRNA from 1 species